rnacentral:rRNA from 1 species
AUGCAUGCAUUCUUCCUCUUUCUGCCACUCGGCCUCGUCCUCUCCGUCAUCCGCAUCUCCAUCGGCAUCAUCUUGCCCUACAAGAUCAGCUUUGCAGCUAGCGCAUUCUUUGGAAUCCGUUUCCGCACCUCUGGGUGUCCCUCCACAGGGGCCGGCGCCAAGCCAAGGGGAGUCUUGUUCGUGUGUGCACACCGGACGUUGGUCCACGGAGUCAUGCUCGCUGGGGCACUACAGAAGCCUGUGUCCACUGUGACAUAUAGUCUAAGCCGUCUCUCAGAGAUUUUGGCGCCUAUGAAAACAGUGCGGUUGACCCGCGAUCGCGACCUAGAUGCCAAAGCCAUAUCUCAACUACUAGAGCAAGGGGACCGCGCGGUCUGCCCCGAGGGCACGACCUGUCGCGAGCCUUACCUGCUGCGCUUCAGCCCGCUUUUCGCUGAGCUGGCCGACGACAUGGUGCCCGUGGCACUGGACGCGCAAGUGACAUUAUUGUAUGGCACAACGACGAGCGGACGCAAGUGGCUCGACCCCAUAGCGUUCUUGGCCAACCCAGCCCCCUCAUACCGGGUGGAGUUCCUGGGCCCUGUACCACGGGAUCAGACGCGCGCCGGGGGAAGGACCGGUGUUGAGGUGGCAAACUGGGUCCAACAUCGGCUCGGUGAGGCGCUCGCUCCAGCUGCGGAGUUCGAGAUAUCAAAAGAAGAUGACAAAGGAGCAUCCAAGCGAGCAGCAAUCCCCAAGGCAUGCUCGAUCUUGGAGCCAUUGUCGGAUCCACUCAUUGGCAUAGUCGUCCACCACACACAACGACUAGAAGAUGCAGAUGGCGACCACCGAUUGCAACUCGCAAGCACUGGUGGCAAGCUACUGAAAGAACAAGGAGACAAGAGAUCGGGAGUAGCAUAG